UACGUAGGGUGCGAGCGUUGUCCGGAAUUAUUGGGCGUAAAGAGCUUGUAGGCGGUCUGUCGCGUCUGCUGUGAAAAUCCGGGGCUCAACCCCGGACUUGCAGUGGGUACGGGCAGACUUGAGUGUGGUAGGGGAGACUGGAAUUCCUGGUGUAGCGGUGAAAUGCGCAGAUAUCAGGAGGAACACCGAUGGCGAAGGCAGGUCUCUGGGCCACUACUGACGCUGAGAAGCGAAAGCAUGGGGAGCGAACAGG
rnacentral:rRNA from 1 species